UCGAACGGAGAUAGUUUACUAUCUUAGUGGCAAACGGGUGAGUAACGCGUAGGAAUCUACCUUUUAGUGGGGGAUAACCAACGGAAACGUUGGCUAAUACCGCAUAUUCUCAGAAAUGAGGAAAGAUUUAUUGCUAAAAGAUGAGCCUGCGUCAGAUUAGAUAGUUGGUGAGGUAAUGGCUCACCAAGUCAACGAUCUGUAGCUGGUCUGAGAGGAUGAUCAGCCACACUGGGAUUGAGAUACGGCCCAGACUCCUACGGGAGGCAGCAGUGGGGAAUAUUGGACAAUGGGGGAAACCCUGAUCCAGCAAUGUCGCGUGAAUGAAGAAGGCCUUUGGGUUGUAAAGUUCUUUUACUUGUGAAGAUGAUGACUGUAGCAAGAGAAUAAGGUCCGGCUAACUUCGUGCCAGCAGCCGCGGUAAUACGAAGGGAUCAAGCGUUGUUCGGAAUGACUGGGCGUAAAGGGUGCGUAGGCGGCUAUUUAAGUAAGAUGUUAAAGAUCUAGGCUCAACCUAGAAAGUGCGUCUUAAACUGGAUAGCUAGAGUAUGAGAGAGGAAAGUGGAAUUCCUAGUGUAGAGGUGAAAUUCGCAGAUAGUAGGAGGAAUACCGGAGGCGAAGGCGGCUUUCUGGAUCAUUACUGACGCUGAGGCACGAAAGCGUGGGGAGCGAAAAGGAUUAGAGACCCUUGUAGUCCACGCCCUAAACGAUGAGUACUAGACGUUGGAUUUUUCCAGUGUCGCAGCUAACGCAUUAAGUACUCCGCCUGAGGAAUACGGUCGCAAGACUAAAACUUAAAGGAAUUGACGGGGACCCGCACAAGCGGUGGAGCAUGUGGUUUAAUUCGAAGAUACGCGAAAAACCUUACCGGCUCUUGACAUAGGGAUUUUAAAUUUAAGAGAUUAGAUUUUUCAGUUCGGCUGGAUCCUAUACAGGUGCUGCAUGGCUAUCGUCAGUUCGUGUCGUGAGAUGUUGGGUUAAGUCCCUAAACGAACGCAACCCUUUUUCUUAGUUGCUACAGGUUAUGCUGAGAACUUUAAGAAGACUGCCGAUGAUUUAAAUCGGAGGAAGGUGAGGAUGACGUUAAGUCCUCAUGGCCCUUAUGGGCCGGGCUACACACGUGCUACAAUGGUAACUACAAAGAGAUGCAAUAGGGUGACCUGGAGCUAAUCUUUAAAGGUUAUCUCAGUUCGGAUUGUUCUCUGCAACUCGAGAACAUGAAGUUGGAAUCGCUAGUAAUCGUAGAUCAGCAUGCUACGGUGAAUACGUUCACGGGUCUUGUACACACCGCCCGU
rnacentral:rRNA from 1 species